rnacentral:tRNA from 1 species
AUUUAAAUAAUUUAAUGAAAAUAUUGAUUUGUGGAGUCAAAAAUAUGAAGAAUAAAAUUCAUUUUAAGUU